UACGGAGGGUGCGAGCGUUGUCCGGAAUCACUGGGCGUAAAGGGCGCGUAGGCGGCCUGAUAAGUAGGGGGUGAAAUCCUGCGGCUUAACCGCAGGGCUGCCUUCUAAACUGUCAGGCUAGAGCACGGUAGAGGCAGAUGGAAUUCCCGGUGUAGCGGUGGAAUGCGUAGAGAUCGGGAAGAACAUCAGUGGCGAAGGCGGCCUGCUGGGCCGUUGCUGACGCUGAGGCGCGACAGCGUGGGGAGCAAACAGG
rnacentral:rRNA from 1 species